rnacentral:misc_RNA from 1 species
GGAAAACCUACAAAUCACAAGGUAUUCGGCGAGGACGUUGCUGUUCUCGCUGGAGAUGCGCUUUUAGCUUUCGCUUUUGAGCAUAUCGCUGUGUCGACCAUCGGCGUAGCGCCGCCGCGGAUAGUUCGGGCGAUUGGAGAACUCGCGAAGUCGAUUGGGGCUGAGGGGCUCGUCGCCGGCCAAGUUGUUGACAUUAAUUCCGAAGGGGCGG